AACGCACAUUGCGCCCGCCAGUAUUCUGGCGGGCAUGCCUGUCCGAGCGUCAUUUCAACCCUCGAACCCCCCCGGGGGUCCGGCGUUGGGGAUCGGGAGCCCCUCAGACGGGAUCCCGGCCCCGAAAUACAGUGGCGGUCUCGCCGCAGCCUCUCCUGCGCAGUAGUUUGCACAACUCGCACCGGGAGCGCGGCGCGUCCACGUCCGUAAAACACCCAACUUUCCGAAAUGUUGACCUCGGAUCAGGUAGGAAUACCCGCUGAACUUAA
rnacentral:misc_RNA from 1 species